rnacentral:rRNA from 1 species
ACGAACGCUGACGGCGUGCUUAACACAUGCAAGUCGAACGGUGAAGCGCCUUCCUUUUUGGUGGGUGUGGAUGAGUGGCGAACGGGUGAGUAACACGUGAGUAACCUGCCCCCUUCUUCUGGAUAACCGCAUGAAAGUGUGGCUAAUACGGGAUAUUCUGGGUCUGUCGCAUGAUGGGUCUGGGAAAGAUAUUGUUUCGGUGGGGGAUGGGCUCGCGGCCUAUCAGCUUGUUGGUGGGGUGAUGGCCUACCAAGGCGGUGACGGGUAGCCGGCCUGAGAGGGUGGACGGUCACACUGGGACUGAGACACGGCCCAGACUCCUACGGGAGGCAGCAGUGGGGAAUAUUGCACAAUGGGCGCAAGCCUGAUGCAGCGACGCCGCGUGAGGGAUGGAGGCCUUCGGGUUGUGAACCUCUUUCGCCAGUGAAGCAGGCCUGCCUCGUUUGUGGGUGGGUUGACGGUAGCUGGAGAAGAAGCGCCGGCUAACUACGUG